AAAAUGGCUCUUUUGAGAGCCACACACUCCCUGCAAUGAUUUGUG
rfam:Stegodyphus mimosarum contig55751, whole genome shotgun sequence.